AGAGUUUGAUCCUGGCUCAGGACGAACGCUGGCGGCGUGCCUAAUACAUGCAAGUCGAGCGAGCUUGCCUAGAUGAUUUUAGUGCUUGCACUAAAUGAAACUAGAUACAAGCGAGCGGCGGACGGGUGAGUAACACGUGGGUAACCUGCCCAAGAGACUGGGAUAACACCUGGAAACAGAUGCUAAUACCGGAUAACAACACUAGACGCAUGUCUAGAGUUUGAAAGAUGGUUCUGCUAUCACUCUUGGAUGGACCUGCGGUGCAUUAGCUAGUUGGUAAGGUAACGGCUUACCAAGGCAAUGAUGCAUAGCCGAGUUGAGAGACUGAUCGGCCACAUUGGGACUGAGACACGGCCCAAACUCCUACGGGAGGCAGCAGUAGGGAAUCUUCCACAAUGGACGAAAGUCUGAUGGAGCAACGCCGCGUGAGUGAAGAAGGGUUUAGGCUCGUAAAGCUCUGUUGGUAGUGAAGAAAGAUAGAGGUAGUAACUGGCCUUUAUUUGACGGUAAUUACUUAGAAAGUCACGGCUAACUACGUGCCAGCAGCCGCGGUAAUACGUAGGUGGCAAGCGUUGUCCGGAUUUAUUGGGCGUAAAGCGAGUGCAGGCGGUUCAAUAAGUCUGAUGUGAAAGCCUUCGGCUCAACCGGAGAAUUGCAUCAGAAACUGUUGAACUUGAGUGCAGAAGAGGAGAGUGGAACUCCAUGUGUAGCGGUGGAAUGCGUAGAUAUAUGGAAGAACACCAGUGGCGAAGGCGGCUCUCUGGUCUGCAACUGACGCUGAGGCUCGAAAGCAUGGGUAGCGAACAGGAUUAGAUACCCUGGUAGUCCAUGCCGUAAACGAUGA
rnacentral:rRNA from 1 species